rnacentral:rRNA from 1 species
ACGAGCAGCAUACCACCCUGCAUCCCACUGCUGGCUUGCCUCUGAAGCUAAGCAGGGUUGGUCCUGGUCGGUCACUAGAUGGGAGACCAGAUGCUGCUGGAA